CGGCUCUGGAAGGGGGAAAGGGGUAAUAACUUACCUUUUUCCAGCGCUGGGCGGAGAGCUCUCCUCCUCCUCUCCGCCUCCGAUCCGCCCGGCCGGCUGAAUGCGCACGCGCGGCAAGAGCUGCGCGCGCAUUCAGCCCGUCGCAUAGGAAAGCAUUCAUAAUGCUUUCCUAUGGACGCUGGCGUGCUCUCACUGUGAAAAUCAC